rnacentral:misc_RNA from 1 species
AACGAAUUAUUUCGGGAAAGCGGUUGCUAAACAAACUGUAAAGUUGCCGGUGUCGACAAGAAAAAGGUUCAGUCGCCAGAAUGGGGCGGAAUGAAGGUUCGAAUCCUUCGGAGCCGGUUUAGAUGCACCUCGGGAUGCGAAUCACGAGGGAAGGGCUGAGAGUCAAACCAAUGACUCUUCGAGGCCGUGUAAAGGUUUGCACUCAGGACGUUAAAUGGGUUUAAUGGAGCAU